GCGGUGUCCCUGACCUGCGCCGGGGCUCGGCUCGGUUCGCAGCCCCGAAGGCCGCCAUGUUCCACAGCUACUGAUUUCAAACGUUGACCUGUUCGCCCCUCAGGGCGUCUGCUGUCUAUGGCUGCCGCGAAGGCUCCGAACUACGGCGACUAUUUCAGUCCCGAAAGACUGGAAGCAUGGCCGGCGCCGGAGUCCGUUCCUUUCAUGGAGGUAUUAGCUAGAGAAGACAUUGAUGAGGCCGUCCAUGCAAUAUUAUUUAGAGAAAAUCACGCUGUGAAGCAACUGGAUACGUAUAUUCAGCAUCUGGAUAUUUUCAAGGAAAGAAGAAAAGAGAUGAUACAUAAGAAAUGGGUCCAAAGUGUUGCCGAUCCUCUUCAGCAGAGAAUUAUGGAAAAAGUAAUUUCAUAUAGAGGAGUUGAAAAAAUGAAACAAGAGAAUUUUGAACACUUCUUAAAGCACACAAAUAAAACGGAAACUGUGUUUGGAGACCAUUAUAAUCCUGAAGUGUACGACCCUUUUUAUAUGAAGAAAAAGAAUCCGAAUUAUGGAAAGGUUACAGUCCCACCAUUUUGUGAUCCUCUGUUCCGAAGACAGCAGGAGGUAGAUGAGGAGAGGAGAGCGAACCUUGAGUAUGAGACAGGAAAACGGUACUCCAUGAAGGAAUUUAAAGAAAUAGAGAAGGCCAGGCUGCGUGCCAGGUUGCCCCAGUUCACUUUCACCUUGCACGGUGUGAUUCCAAAAGAGCGGCAUCCAGGCUCUGCAGGAUCCGCGCGAGGUAGAGCUCGUGGGAAACGCAGUCCCGAAAAGCUGCCCUGUGCAGAGACGCCGCAUCUGCCUGCGGAAGAGGCGGCCGACGGGGGUCGGCUUGCUUUCGAGAGGCAGUUUCUCUCCUCGAAGCUCAGCCGGGGGCAGAGAGGGGCUGAGCAGAAGGGCCUGGCCUCAGGAGCCCGACAGCCGAGCCCUCGCUCCUGGGCGCCUGGGGGCGGCACGCAGAGAGGGAAGAGUGAGGAUGGCAGAGGCCCUGGGCAAGCACCUGGCGUCCCUGCACGCGACGGCCCAGCAGGACCAAGGCUGGUACUACGGAGGCUUCGUUAACUCAAGUUCGCAGUGUCGCAGUGAAAAUACUGCAAUGGCGUUCUGUCUCUCCAGGAGCGGAGAGAUUGCAAGAAAUGCACAAAUAAAAACAGUCUCACAGGUGCUGUCGGACUCAGAUCCUGCAGGCCCUGUGUCCUGCCUGCCUACAGGUGAAGGCAGCACUAGCCAGUCUUCCUGGUGGGAACCCAAGGAUUAUUCUGCAGCUGCGGUCAAGGUGACCCCAGAACCGGUUUCACAACUGCCUGAUUCAUCUGAAAACCAGCCAGGCCACGGGCUCACUUGGACACCAGCCCACCCCUGGCUCUGGAACCAAGGAAGCACGCUUCCCACAGCCUGGCAGUGUCAGCAGGUUGCUCUGCUCAGUGACUCUGGGCCGGCAGGCAGGGCUCCCGGAAGUGAGUACAGUGCUUUCAUACACUGAGUGGUGUCUCUUCUUACUUAUGUCUGCAUUCUCCCUAGUCAGAGCCCGGCAUCAGGACCUCAGAUGAGGAAGUGGCAGGUUUAAGUUUGGAUAGACUGAAUUGUGUUUUCCAGCCCUUCCGUGCCCCGAACAGGAACGGGGCCCGGCACACAUGCCCAGGCCCGUGGGGCGUCUGACUCCCUCCGGGUUCUUCCAGCAGCUGGAUCCGCUUCCUGAGAAGCCAGGGCUCCGCAGCCUGGGUGGCCGCUUCAGAAGGACAGACCCAUUCCUGAAACCAGGGGUCCAGCGCGGGAGACCUUGUUCUUAGUGAUAUCUGAGACAGGCUUCACGUCUGGAAUUCAGAAGCUGAGCGAGCGGCUGAGACUGGCACGGAUGUGGCUCCAGGGCGGGGCCUGGAGGGAGGACAGGGUCUCUGGAGCUGGCAGCAGGGCUGCCCCUGUGCUCCUCUCCCCCUACCUUACCCCUGAGGCUUCCCCUCACAGAGGCACAGCGCCCGGACGUCGUCCAGGGUAGCUGCUGAAGAAGCCGCCCUGGAGACAUGAGGGAGGUCCCAGCCACAGAGCAGGUGAAUGGCAGCGCCAGGCAGAGGCCCGGCCUCCUGGUCCUGUCCGUGCCCUGUUCCCUGGCUCUCCCCACGGUGCCAGAAAGGACACGUGCUUCCUUGUGAGCAGCCUCCAGACCAUUCAAGAGCGGUUCAGAGAAGUUACGUUCGUAAACUUAGAUUUUUAUUCUCUUUCUGUACAUAUUGGCAAUGAUAAAGCUUAAAGAUGCAUGUCCUAUGAAAUAUGCAAA